ACCUCCACUCUAUCUCUCUCAAUCUAGUAGAAACUAGAAGAUCUAUUUCUACCUUACAUUGGUUGCUAAGCCUAAAAAGAAAUAUUAUUUAGAGAAGAGGUUUUCCUUCGAGGGCACCCCUCAAUCUCUAUGAUAAUUUCUUGUCUCCUCCAGGGCCAGAGGGGGUCUCCUUAUAUAGUCCUCCCCUUCUAUGCGUUUUUGGGUCGAUAGGCGAGGUGGUACUAUGUUAUUCUGGAUCCAAUAGGUCGGUGGAACGUGGUGUGCGAAGAGAGUCCGGAACGGAGUCCAGAGGGGGGCGGGCGCCCAGGUCCUCAGGGCGGGCGCCUUGGGCCUGGCCCCUUUCGGGCUCCGCUUCCUUCCCGUGGCUUCUGGAGUCUUCUAGAUGGUAGAAAAUUGCACGAUGGGUUGAUAUCUCUAUGUAAUCCCGACAUGUGGGCCUUUCUUCCUUAUUUCCUGAUAUCCCCCUGCAGAAAUAGACAAACACCAAAACUCAUGGAAUUCUGUCAGAUAAAACCCUAAGUCUAGAUGUUGAUUUCAUUUGGAUCCUUUUCUUUGUUUAUUUGAUAAUUAAAUUUGAUACUUAAGGACCGUCAACAAACUCCCCCAAGCUUACCUCUUGCUCGUCCCUGAGCAAGGAUGAACUCAAGAGUUUCUGCAGUGGUUUCAUUUCUUAGAAGUACACACGCAUUUAAGCAAGAUCUCAUCUCUGAGUUAGAAUAAACUGUUAAGACUUAAAACUUACUUACUUUACCUACACCAUAGGACUUGUAACCGUCACUUCUGUCUUGAGUGGUUAAAAGAUAGAACAGUCUAGCCAAGUGCCAUGUCUCUUAUUCUUGAUCAGCUAUAGCUCUGGGGUUUUUGCAGAUUUUCAAAUAAAACUCAGAAAUUCCUUGUAUGAUUCUCUCAGGUCUCUCUUUUGUGGUAUUUCUGGAUCCUUACCAAGGCAGUGAUGGUAUAUGCCUUCUCUCAAAAUAUGUGGUAUUUGUGGUAUGAGGCAUAGUGACAUUGUCUUCUCUCUCACCCUACUCUAAUAAGGCUUUAAUAUCUGGAGCUCAUAGGUGGGAGAUAAAGUAUACAUACUUACAAGACAUUUAUUGCAUAGUCAAACCAUGGAUCCAAAGAAACAAAUCAAUAAGCCAAAUCAAGAUGUGCAUGUGUGGCGAAUGAAUGGUGUAUGGUGAUGAUGGUGAUAACAAUGGUGGUGGAAGCCUAAUUCUACUUUGCUCUUUUAAGGGGAUACAUACCUUUCUUGCACUUUGAAGCUUUUUGGGGAGAAUGAGAUGCUCUAUAUUUUCUUUUUCUUUCCUCUCAGGUGGGUAUCUUGUACCCCUAAUUCUACUGUCGGACACUUGUCCAUUUUUACCUCUCGUCUCACUUUUUCUUUUCUUCGAGGUUCCGAGCACUUGCUCCUUUUUAUUUCCUCGUAUCUUUUAUUUUCUUUUUCUCUCUUUUUUUUUCAGAGCAUUCAUCUCUUGAGAUAAUAUAGCAAGUGGUAGUAACAAGAUAACUUGAGCAUUUAUUUCACAAGGGGAAACAGAAAUAUUUUUGGUUAUUCUCUCCCGGAUUAGGAGUAGAAUACUUUUGGGUGGUUUUGGAGAUGGAAAUGAGUGGAUAUAUGUGGAUGGUACUUCCGGAGUAGAAGUAGCAUGUAUGAGUGAACGUGCAAGUGAAUCUUGAUUUAACCACAUGACAAGCUCCUAAGGGUCUACACACCUUGACCACACUCAAUGCUCAUAAGCAGUAAAUAGUAAAUGUGUGGCUCAAGGUCUAGCAAGCAUCUAUAUAUGGCUGUGGUAGGAAUUUAAACUCUCAUCAUACAGGAACUCAUCAUGUGUUAUUUUAAAGAUUUUUCAAAGAUAAAAUUCUCCAGAAUUCUAGCAUCUCUAGAAACAGAUGAACAACAGCUCAACCUUCCCAUAUCGUAUCCGUUAACAACUUAGACUUCAGAUCAAGUUUUCAUCCCACAAGUUUAGGUCUAGAGCAAGCCUUAAAUUAUAACAGAUAUAUCUAAACUUGAGAGAGAACUUCAAAUUUGCAAAUUAGGCAGAGCAACUAUUCAUCAUAUCCAUGCUUAAGUUUUAUUAGAUACCGAUUAGCAUAGCCACUUUAUUUAUUUAUUAAACACACUAAGCAAAAUAUAUAUAAGCAUAAAAUCUUUAUUUGGUUUUUCAUAGUUAUGUGUAUUUAUAUUCUAAUAUAGUAUAAGUACAAAGAUAGAUAGAAAUACUUAUCGAGAUAAAUGGGGGUGCUCUCCCCCAAGCUAAAUUUUGACGUAAUUUCUCUUGAUGUAGCUAGCAGGUGGCAGAGGUGUGUUUGAAAGUCAGCAGUAUUUUGACAGCGAUUAGAAUGUCCUCCGUCUGCUAGUCUUCUUGAUUCUUAAAUUCUGUGGAGCUCAAAUAGACAACAAAGCUUGUGGAACUGGUUAAGUGUUAGCAUAAAUAUCUAGCCUUUAUCAUGUUGAGACUCCUUAAUAAAUAUUACUCCCUGUUUUUAUAUUUUUGUUUUUAUAAAGUAGAAAAAUAUUUAUUUUAUUUUUAUGCCACCACAGUGAAUGUACUUAUGGGUUUUAUGCCACUCGUCUACUCACAUGGGGCUUACAGUUUUUUUUUUACAUUUUUAUUUUCUUUCUAGGAUAAUACGAACAUGAUUAACUAAGUAAACUAUUUGAAAUAAUUAAAAGGGAAAGGAUAACUACCAAGUUUACCUCUUGGCAAGGCGUUGGGUGUUUUUAAGUCCUCCGAGCGGGACUCUCCAUUUUCUUAAUCGUCCUGAGGUUCGUUGGGUGGCGUAGUCGGAACUUCCUGCGGCGCCUCCUCUUCAUUUAUAGUUAUCUUCAUUUUCCAUACCUGACUCGGUGUUAUGGUCUCCUCAGGACAGUUCUGUUCAAGUUGUAUGUCUUCAGUCCUUAUCACUUCUCCUUCGUAGUCUACCCAUCCGUCCUUGAUGAUUUGCCUCCUCUGGUUGCGGUUGCGAUGUCUUCUUCUUGUCCUGACCUGCUUAUAGUCUUCAACUAUAUAGUUAGGGUCAGUAAAACAGCGGCAUACCUUCUCAGAGGAGAAGUGUAUGUGGACUUCUCCGGUUCCAAUAUAGAUGAUGGCUUUGAUAGUGCUGAGGAACUGUCUUCCAAGGAUGGUGGGUGGAUCAUAUUCAUCUUCUCCCAUGUCAAUAACUUGCAAGUCAUCUAUAGCUGAAUGUAUAUUGGUUGUAGGGGCAUGGUUUCAUGCAGGAGCUGAUAAGUGACUACGACCAUUAUGUUGACGUCAGAUCCGGUGUCGUAGAGUGUCUUCUGAAAAGAGUAUCUGUUGAUUCUGCACUCAAUGCUUAGAACACUAGGGUCGUCCUUCUUGAUCAAGAAAGGUGACUUGAGUCGACGAUCUUGACCUCCUUGAACUGCAGUGACCAUCUUAGCUGACUCGGUCCACAUUUGCUUGUUCUUGUUCCUCCUGUUGGUCCUCUUCCUUGGUUGAUGUCGGGGUUGCUCUGAAGUUUGUGUAGUCUUGUUCUUGAAGGAAAGUCUCCUUCUUCCCCUUGAUAUAGAGACUGAUCUUGGCAGCAUUAGCGUAGAUGACAGCUCUAGUGUUUAGGAAUGGCCUCCCUAAUAUGAUUGGUGCCCUCUCCUCACUGCCAGUCUCUAUCACCAUGAAGUCUGCUAUAGCAUACAAGGUACCAACUCGGACACAGAGGUUCUUCAAUAUUUCCUUUGGGAAACUGAGUGUCCGAUCUGCAACCCUGGGCAUAAUGUUGACGCUGGAGCCAAAGUCGCAGAGUGCUUCUGGGAAGUCCACCAUGCCGAUGGAGAUCGGGACGUCCUAGAUCACCUCUCUGAGUAAUUAGGCCUCUGUUGAUUCCAACCUUGAUGUUGUUGAGGACGGUUGUAGUAAUAGUUGUUAUUGUUGUUGAUGUAGUUCACGUCCUCAAGCAUCUUAGGGCAGUGAUUGCCUGAGCGUCCAGUAUCUCCAGUGUGUUUAUGCUCGUAGAUCCUAGUUCUUCACUUGGUGGAAUCUGGGAGUUGUAAAACUCCUUCAUAUUAUGCUCGAAGUGUUCCUACUCAUAGAAACAAGGUAGAGAUCAAGUGCAUGGGCCCUGUUGGUGGAAAACACCAACAGAACCAAAAGUGUAUUUGUUCUUCUCUAACCUUAAGCAUAGUGAGCAAGACAAAGUUGAUGGAUCAUGAGUGUAGCAUUUGUCAGAUCAGAUGGCUCAACCUAAUGGAAAGAUAAUCUAUCUAUAUUUAUGUUUUGUUUAUAUCUUCCAAAGAUUGCAUGUGCCAUACUUUAGCUUAUAUAAUUAGGAGUGUGGGGUCACGAAGGUAGUACUAAGAACAAAGAUUAAAGGACUAAACAUGUUGAAUUAAUUGAGUUGGUUAAUUUGGAGUCAUAAAUCAUACAUGUUUGUCUCUUUAUUUAUGUGAAUGCCAGAACCAAGGAGGAGCUUAUAAAAGUGUUAGUCAAGUACCUUAAGAUGUUACCUUACUUGAAGAGUGAUGGUACAGUAUCACCUUGUGGAAGCUUUCCUUUCUUAGCGGUUGUGCAUCGUGUUUGUGGCACCCUCCAUGAAUCAUCUCUUAUGAGCUACGUCUUUCUUGUGCAAAUUGUUAAACUUCAUGUGUCACUUUCUUCAUCUCUAAUGAGUUUGCAUCUCAAGACUUCCCAGGUUGUUAUUGAAAGUUUUCCUACAGGGGUUAGUCCAACAAAAUAUACCAAUAUCUACUCAAGCAGUUUUUAGUUCAGUAACCAAACUAGACUCCAUGUCUAAUCAGAUUAAGGAAGGCUAUUUAACCUAAGCACCACGCUUAAUUUAAAUGCCAUUGGAAGUGUGACCAGUACUUCCAAACUAACACUUACUAGGAUAAACAAAGGUAGCAUGAUGGCUUUUAUAGAGAUCUACUCAAGUGGUGAUGAAGUAGUGUGAUUAGUAUUUAACAAAUUGAGCAUGUCUCAAAGGUAAGGACAACCAACAUAGCAACAUGGCAAAGGAUGUUUUAUGUAAAGUACUCCCCCAAGCUUGAAUUUUGCAAAAUUCAAGAUUGAAUGAAUUUAAUUUAAUGUUGCAUGAUGAUUGGUUGGGCAUACCUUGCGCUUGUCAUUCAUCCGAUCUUCUUGCUCCAAUCCUAGAAAGGUUAGUGGCAAGAAUACCCGAAGGAAUAUUUCUACAAUUAUCUUUAUAUGCUCAAUACACAAGGCAAUGUUGCAAAUAAUUAGAAGUGCUUGUUUUAGGACACUAAGCUUCUCCUUGGGGAACCAUCAAUUAACUCAACGAGAUCUGCAAUAUUUAUUAUAGACAUAUGCAUCGACAACCGCCCUUUUAAAGUUUUUAUAAAUAGAAAAGAAGAGGGGGUUGGAGAUCUCAAAUGUGGUAAGGAUGGAGAGACAAAUUGAUUGGAGAGAUGUUUUAUAUGAGCAAGGACUGGGUGAGGUAUUUAUGAAAUAACUUCCAUGCUCACUGUUGUUUCUCUUAUUCUCAAUCUCCAAUGAUGAUUCUUCAUGAAUGCUUAAAAUUCCUCUAGGAUUGUCUCUCAAGUUUGUUUUAUCUAUCCAUUCAAUGGUGAUAGCACAUGGAUUUUUAAUGCCCUCUAGCCAUUGAUGUUGCUCUUCUCGAUCCUCCUUGCGGUCUUGGUGACUUUUAUGCAUGGGCUGUCUAGAUAGAUUCAUAGGAUCAUCGGGAGGUUCAAGAGAAAGAGCAUAGUAGAAAUUAUUAAGUUCAAGGAUGGGUUGGAUAGCCGAAUCAUGGGAUUGGAAUGUUUGGAAAUCGGCUAUUGAAACUUCCUUUCCUUGUCUGGGAGAUGAUUCCUUCUCUAUCUCUAAGAUUUUUCUAUGAAGACUAAUGCAAGAAGGAUGUCCACAAAUGAAGACAUACCUUCCUUUACUAAUAGAUAAAGAAAGAAAGACUCUACCAAAUGUUAUAUGAUUAAGACCAAUAUGAAAAUAUCUAGGAAAAACAUGGUCUUGUAGGGCUAGGUCUAAACCAGAAUUUAUAGAAAGAUUAAUAGAUUCCCUAGGUGUAGCUAAAAGUGCAUUAUCUUUUUGAUUAAAAGAUAGGACCUCGGCUAUAGAAAAGGGUUGGUUUUGACCUAUUGCAAUCAACUCCGGACACAGAUCAUAAUUAGGGGCAGGACGUGUUGACUCCCAUGGUCUAUGGCUGGUCUCCAAAGGUGCAAAGAAUUCAAUAAUAGGUAUGGAAUUUGAGUUAUCCAUAAAAAUAAAAAUAAAAAGAUAAAAGAAUAAAAGUAUAAAAGUAUAAUACAAGAUAAUAGCAAGACUCAAAGUUAUCUCAGCAAACCGUCUUUAUCCCCGGCAACGGCGCCAGAAAUGCUUGUUGAUAUUUGGUAACGCAAUUAGAAAAUGAUCCGCAAGCGCACGGAUAUCGGUGAGCAUUUCACCCGGGAGGUUAUCCAGAGUUAUCGUAUUUAUAUUUUUACCACUGGGAGAAAGGGUGCAUCUGACUAACCAAAUCUAUUGCUACUACCCCUUUAGGCUACAAAGAAUGUCUCUCGAUGUGAGUGAUGUAUAGAGAAGACUACAACCGUAGUCUCGUUCUAACCUUGGUAAGGAUGAUCUACUGUUCUAUUGGGGAGGCUCACGGAAUCUAGACAACACAAAGGAUGUUCGACCCGCACCUAUAAACCUACCCGUCCUGCUAACGAGAUGUGAUCUGCAAAGGUAACUCGGAAUUGUCACGUUCCUCGCUACUACCACGGUCCAGCUAGUCAGGGGAUAUCUAUGAGUACCCUAGCCUAAACACCACGUUUACGCUAACAAGUGAUUACUCUAAUACUCAACCGGAAGAGGAUUAAAGUAAACUCAUAAACCAAAGAACGAUAAAACAAGAACUUACUAGUAUUAGAAGUCGAAUUACUGAAGAAUCUUAGAAGCAAGCCUCGGGUUAGGAGACUUGAUCUCGCAGGUACAACUCGGAGCAGACACCGACAGGCCGGCCUUCCUCCGAUCCACACCUCCACUCUAUCUCUCUCAAUCUAGUGGAAACUAGAAGAUCUAUUUCUACCCUACAUUGGUUGCUAAGCCUAAAAAGAAAUAUUAUUUAGAGAAGAGGUUUUCCUUCGAGGGCACCCCUCAAUCUCUAUGAUAAUUUCUUGUCUCCUCCAGGGCCAGAGGGGGUCUCCUUAUAUAGUCCUCCCCUUCUAUGCGUUUUGGGUCGAUAGGCGAGGUGGUACUAUGUUAUUCUGGAUCCAAUAGGUCGGUGGAACGUCGUGUGCGAAGAGAGUUCAGAACGGAGUCCAGAGGGGGGCGGGCGCCCAGGUCCUCAGGGCGGGCGCCCUGGGCCUGGCCCCUUUCGGGCUCCGCUUCCUUCCCGUGGCUUCUGGAGUCUUCUAGAUGGUAGAAAAUUGCGCGAUGGGUUGAUAUCUCUAUGUAAUCCCGACAUGUGGGCCUUUCUUCCUUAUUUCCUGAUAACCCCCUGCAGAAAUAGACAAACACCAAAACUCGUGGAAUUCUAUCAGAUAAAACCCUAAGUCUAGAUGUUGAUUUCAUUUGGAUCCUUUUCUUUGUUUAUUUGAUAAUUAAAUUUGAUACUUAAGAACCGUCAACACCCCAGUCCAGUCAACCAAAGAGAAAAGGUUCCAAGAGUACCAGAUCACACGCAAAGCGCCAGAGAACAACAACGCCUUCUCCUCCCCCAGUAUCUCCAAUCCCAGUAGAAUCGUCCCCUUCUCCUCUAGAAGCCCAGAUACAACCAGCACUGUCUCCCCUUCAACCACAAGAAGAAACCCAAACAGAAGAAGUCCAACCAGAAGAACCUCAGCCAGAAAAACCUCAGCCAGAAGAAACAUCGGCUGAUGUACACGAGCAGACUGCCGAUCCAGCAAGCUUAAUCAUAGCAUCGGUAGUUUCCUCGAUUCAGACUAAUACUGCACCUCCUCAAGGUAACAUACUUUUUAUUUAUUGCCGAUGAACCCACCUUUUCCAAUUUGUAAUUACCUCUGUUAAUCUUUCAGCUGACAUAGUCUCAUCGGCAAUCCCAGCCGAUCAACCUGUGGUUCCAUCGGCUUCAACUAGUCAGAGGCGAGAGAUAGCUUCGAAGCAAGUAAGUUACCCGAUCCUUAUUUUUAUUGUUAUCAGUACUUAAUCAUAAAAUAACUUAUUCUGUCUUCUUUUCCAGGAACAGGAUUCUCCCGAUAGCCUGUUCUCCUUUGCCAUCGACAUCUCUAAGGAUAAAGGUGAGGAAGCAAGUUCUUCUCGAGUAGUUGGAAUCUCAUCGGCAGAGAUUAGAGCAAAGCUGGUGGAUCUGUCAGCCCUUCUCCAUCAAGAUACAGCGCAAUUGGUCGAUGACUCUGAUCCAGCCAAAGUUCUGUUCAAGGCUCUCAGAGGUCAAAUCCCUACCGAUGCCGAGGAGGUUCUUUUUCAGGAUGCACACUUAGAGAGUCGUCAGCUGCAGUAUCAAAAGGCUGCCCAGCGUCUUGCCGAUAGAGCUGCUCACACUCAGCUCUCAAAGGAGAUGAUGAAAGUGAAGCUCCUUGCCAAUGAGAAGCAUAAGAGCAUUGGCAUUCUGAAAUCCUCAGGAGAUGUACUGAAGCAAAAGAUCUCUGAUCUAUCGGCGAGAAGGGAAGCUCUGUUGGCUGAACUCAGACAAGUGGAAGAAGCUCUGUCUCAAGCUCAACAGGAAGAAAGCCAACUGCCUAAAGCAAUCAAGACUGUUGAACAAGAGCGAAACAUCCAGGUUCAUAAAGCACUGCAGAUGAAGAAGAAACUAAAGCCAGUGGAAGGCUCUGCUGAUGAUGACGUGAAGGAGAUAAAAGAAGCCAACCAGAUCCGUCUGCGCGCCAUAUCGACGAUCCAGGCUCUGCAAAACAUGUGAACUCUUCAUCGGCGGCGUGCUUUGCUUCUUUCUUCUAAUCAUUUUGGUCCAGUCGAUAGGACUGUUAUCGGCAUCCUUCUAAAACAUUAAUUCUGGCCCCAUAUAUACUUUUAGUUCAACCGAUAGGAAUGUUAUCGGCACUUAAACUUUCAUGCAUCAAGCCAUAUGCUGGGGUAAUAUCUCUUUAAAUAUUUGUCGUUCAAUGCUCUGGGAAUUUCAACUCCUUCGAGAGUUUCUAAGAUAUAGGCGUUGCUAGGAGCAGAUCGAUUUAUCCGAUAGGGACCUUCCCAAUUGGGAGACCACUUCCCAAAUUUUGAACUUUUCGUCCCGAUCGGUAAGAUUAGUUUCCAUAGUAAGUCUCCAUCGGCAAACUCCUUAGCCUUUACCUUCUUGUCAUAUCAUCUGGCAACUCUCUUCUUAUUUUCUUCUAUACUUAUCAAAGCCCUUAGCUGAUGUCCUGCUAAAUCAUCCAACUCGUCUGUCAUCAAAGUAGCAUAAUCAUCAGCAGCCAAUUGAUCUUGAAAAGAUACUCGCCUAGACCUAGUUUUAAUUUCCCAAGGUAGCACUGCAUCAUGUCCAUACACCAACUGAUAAGGUGAAACUUUGAUCGACCCAUGACAAGACAUCCUAUAUGACCAUAAAGCUUCAUUCAACAACGUAUGCCACCUCCUAGGAUUCUCUUCAACCUUCCGUUUAAUAAGUUUGAUAAUUCCUUUGUUAGAUGCUUCGGCCUGCCCAUUAGCUUGAGCAUAAUACGGAGAAGAAUUUAAUACUUUAAUUCCCAUACCAAUUGCAAACUUAUCAAACUCCCCUGAUGUAAACAUUGUACCCUGAUCGGUAGUAAUUGUUUGAGGAAUUCCAAAUAGGUAAAUAAUAUGUUCCUUCACAAAAUCAAUCAUAUUGGCCGAUGUGACUUUCUUCAAAGGAAUAGCUUCAACCCACUUGGUGAAAUAAUCGGUGGCAACCAAGAUGAAUUAUGUCCUUUGCUUGAUGGUGGGUAAAUUUGGCCGAUUAGAUCAAUAGCCCAUCCCCGGAACGGCCAAGGUUUAAUAAUGGGAUUCAUGGCCGAUGCGGGUGCCCUUUGAACACUGCCAAACUUCUGACAUCCUUGACAUCCCUUGAAAUAUUUAAAGCAAUCUUCAAGUAUGGUUGGCCAAUAAUACCCAUUCCUCCUAAUCAUCCAUUUCAUCUUAAAAGCUGACUGAUGUGCUCCACAUACUCCUUCAUGGAUUUCUCCCAUUAAACUUCUAGCCUCAUCAUCACCUAAGCAUUUGAGAAGAAUUCCAUCAAUUCUUCGAUAAUAUAAUUCAUCUUCGAGGAGCACAUACUUGGUGGCUUGAAACCUAACACGUCUCUCAACUUUCUUGGAUGGGUCCUUUAAAUAAUUAACGAUUUCUUUUCUCCAAUCAUCAGCAAUGAUUGCCGAUAUUGAGUUUAACAUGGGCUGAUAUCCCAAGGCAUGCUGAGCCAACCGAUUAGCCUCUUCAUUAUGCAAUCGAGGAACAUGCUCUAAUCGGAAAUCCCUAAAUUCCUUUAACAAUUGCAUACUCCUUUCGUAGUACGUUAUUAAGACCUCACUCCGGCAUUCAUAACUUCCACCUAAUUGAUUUAUAACCAACAUAGAAUCCCCGAAGAUUUCAACAGCGUCAGCACGAACCUCUUUCAACAACUCCAACCCCUUGAUUAAGGCUUGAUACUCAGCUUGAUUAUUCGUCGACGUGGCAACAAUCGGCAAGGAGAAUUCAUAUUUCCUUCCCCGAGGGGAAAUUAACACUAUGCCGAUUCCUGCCCCCCGAUCACACGUGGAUCCAUCAAAGAAGAGCGUCCAAGGCACAAUUUCCAAAGUUUCCACUGCACCGCAAUGUUGAGUUACAAAAUCGGCCAUAAUCUGUCCUUUAACCGCUUUAGCUGAUUCGUAACGCAGAUCGAAUUCCGACAGUGCCAAAAUUCACUUACCGAUCCUACCACUCAUGAUCGGCAUAGAUAGCAUAUACCGGACCACAUCAUCUUUGCAUAUAACAGUGCAUUCAGCCGAUAAUAAAUAAUGCCUCAACUUAACACAUGAGAAAUAUAGACACAAACAUAACUUUUCAAUGGCCAAAUACCUGGUCUCAGCAACAACCAAUCUUCUGCUUAAACAGUAAACUACACGCUCCUUCCCUUCAAAUCCUUGAAUCAAAGCUGAACCGAUGACCAUCCCAUCGGUAGAUAAAUACAAUCUGAAGGGUUUUCCUUGCUGAGGUGGAAUCAGAACCGAAGGAUUUAUCAAAUAAUUCUGGAUUUCAUCUAAAGCCACCUGUUGCUCUUUCCCCCAUACAAACUCUUGAUCAGCUUUCAGUUUGAGUAAAGGACUGAAAGCACGAAUUUUACCAGACAAAUUAGAUAUAAACCUCCAGAUUAAAUUUACCUUGCCGAUCAAGGACUGGAGCUCAGUUUUGUUGGUAGGAGCAACUAUUUUGUUGAUAGCAUCAAUGGAUCUCCUACUAAUUUCAAUCCCCCUUGGAUGCACCAUGAAACCAAGGAAUUGUCCUGCCGAUACACCAAAUGCACACUUGUUAGGGCUCAACUUCAAACCAUGCUUCCUUGUACAUUCCAACACCCUUCGUAAAUUGGCAAGAUGUUUUGUGAAAUCUCCAGACUUAACCACCACAUCGUCAAUAUAAAUUUGCACCAGUUUGCCGAUGAACUCAUGAAAGAUAAAAUUCAUAGCCCUCUGAUAAGUAGCACCAGCAUUCUUCAAGCCAAAGGUCAUGACUAUCCAUUCAAACAACCCAACAUGACCAGGACAUCUAAAUGCAGUCUUUGGAAUAUCAUAUUCAGCCAUGAAUAUUUGAUUGUAUCCUGCAUUGCCAUCCAUAAAGCUGAUGAUCCGAUGCCCAGUCGCACCAUCAACUAGCAGAUCGGCAACCGGCAUUGGGUAGCCAUCCAUUGGAGUAGCUUUAUUAAGAUUCCUGAAAUCAAUGCAAACCCGAAGCUUCCCAUUUUUCUUGUAGACUGGAACAACAUUGGAAAUCCACUCGACGUACCGACACUGCCGAAUAAAUUUAGCUUCAAUAAGUUUGGUUAUUUCGGCCUUAAUGCCAGGAAGAAUAUUAGGAUUACAUCGGCGAGCUGGCUGUUGAUGUGGCCGAAAUCCAGACUUGAUGGAUAACCGAUGUUCAAAAAUCGAUCGGUCCAAACUAGGCAUCUCAGUAUAAUCCCAAGCAAAGCAAUCUUUAUAUUCCUCUAACAAAUCGGUUAACUGCUGCUUACACUAAGAAUUUAACUUAGCACUAAUAAAUGUAGGUCUAGGUUUAUCACCACUACCUAUAUCUAUUUCUACCAAAUCAUCGGCCGAUGUGAAUCCCUGGCCUAAUUUUCCAUCAUCGGCGAACCUAUCCAUUAAAACUCCUCAUCAGAACCGACUGCUUGGAUCGGUGGAAUUUCAUAAUCGGCAACUUUAAGGAAAUCCUUCUCCCAAAUCUCUCCCAAGAUACACCUAGUUUUUUCAUAGGUAUCUGCCUCUGCCGAUGCAAUGACAUAAGAAGAAUCUCCCGGGACAAUCUCAAUCUUGUCACCUACCCACUGAACCAAGCAUUGGUGCAUCGUAGACGGGAUGCAACAAUUGGCGUGAAUCCAAUCUCUCCCUAGCAGCAAAUUAUAGGCACCUUUUCCACUGAUUACAAAGAAAGUUGUCGGCAAGGUUUUGCUGCCGAUGGUCAACUCGACGCAGAUUGCUCCCUUAACCGGAGACACAUUUCCUUCAAAGUCUUUCAGCAUCAUAUCGGUCUUGGUCAAAUCUUGAUCUCCUUUUCCAAGCUUACGAUAGACUGCAUACGGCAUGAUGUUGAUUGCAGCUCCACCAUCAAUUAAUAUCUUGGUCAUCGGCUGACCAUCAACUCUUCCUUUGACAAACAGAGCCUUAAGAUGCUGCCUUUCAUCGUCGGAAGGCUUUUCAAAGAUAGCUGUCAUCGGAUCCAGAGCCAACUGAGCUAUCUGGUCGGAAAACUCCAACACCUCAUCAUUACUAGACAGCGCAAGGAUUUCCAUCGGCAACAUAAAUACCAUGUUAACAUCUGCCGAUGGCCCUUUCCCCUUACGAUCCGAUUGUUGUUGAUCCCCAGACUGGCCAGAGUUCUCGUCUUUACUUAGCUCUUCUCAUCUUUCGCGUUGCAGUCUCCUCUUUUGUGUCUCAGUCAACCCCUCUGGACACCAUGGGGGAAAUGGUGACUACCUUGCCGAUGGACGACGAUGUUCCCUUGACUCUAUCCGAUGAGUAUUUGCGUCUCUACAAAAUAUGAAUUCAUCGUUAACCCGUGCAUUGGCCAUUUCUUCAAGAUCUUCCUGGUUCCUAGGAAAACAUUCAACACGAUCACCAAGCCUAUCGUGUACACUGAGUCUGCCCCCAGCCGAUCAUGAGCUGACGCUCUCCCCCUAAUCGGUCCAUUAAAUCGCCGAUCAUCAUUGUGAUAGCGCCGAUCAGAUCUGUCAUACCGAUCAUAACCAUUGCAUUCAAGGCAGUCCCUAACAGUGGGUAAUUUAAUGUUCUGCUCCCAGCAAUGGAUAAAGAAUGGGCAGUUCCAGUGAUCCUUGUGCCGAUUCCACUCCUGUUGGUGUCUUUCUUCUUCCCUACGAUAGUCUUCUUGCUGGCGCCGAUACCGAUCCUCACGUUGCUGCCAAGUCUCCCAAGGCCUUCUAUGAGUGAUCACAAUACCAGAUCGGGGAGGCCUUCCCAAGUUAGUUCCUUCUUGGAUCAAGCCUUUUCCUUUGCCAUCGGUAGCAGUAAUUUGAUGCUGAGGAUCUAUAGAUGCACUCCUUUCAGCUGCUUCCGACGUCAAGACCUUGGUCUUUUCCUUAGCAUCCAACAUAUUUGUUGGGAAAGGGUGUUGAUCGAUCUUCAUCGGCUUCCGAUCUUAGGAACUAUCAAAUUUGAUUCUCCUAGAUUCAAUAGCCGAUUGCAGCUAUUGCCUAAAAACUUUGCACUCAUUGGUGCCGUGAGAGGUUGCAUUAUGCGACUUGCAGUAUUUCAUCUUCUUUAAUUCUUCGGCCGAUGGAAUAACAUGAUUAGGCGACAAUUUGAUUUGCCCUUCCUAAAGUAGAAAGUCAAAUAUCCUAUUGGCUUUAGUGAUAUCAAAUGCAAACUUCUCUGGCUCUUUAUGUCCAAAAGGGCAAGACAUCGACUUCUUAUUUUUCACCCAUUCUGCCAAGCCGAUGACUGGCUCUUCAUCUGAAUCUGAGCUUGCUGCCUCAUCAACAAAUGACACCUUUUUGUUCCAAGCUCUCUUAGGUUCAAAGGGCUUAAUAUCCUGGAAAUCCUUUGGACCAAGUGACUCAGACUCUCAAACUCUUGAGAAGCAUAUUUGUCCCUGAUAUGUGGCAACAAACCUUGGAAAGCCAAAUCGGCUAGCUGCCGAUCAUCUAAAACCAGACUAUAGCAUUUAUUCUUGACUUCCCGCAACCUCUGCACAAAACUUUCAACCGACUCAUCAUUGCGUUGUUUCAACCUGACCAAAUCGGUAAUCUUCUUCUCAUGGACUCCAGAAAAGAAGUACUUGUGGAACUGCUUCUCCAAAUCUGCCCAAGUAAUCACUGAAUUAGGAGGCAAUGAUAUAAACCAGAUGAAAGCCGAUCCAGAUAAAGAUGAUGAAAACAGUCGAACCCUUCAUUCAUCCCUGUUAGCAGCUUCCCCACAUUGGAUGAUAAACCUGUUGACAUGUUCCAUAGUCGAUGUAUCAUCCUGCCUAGAAAACUUAGUGAAAUCUGGUACCUUGUACCGAUUUGGAAGUGCAAUUAAAUCGUAUGCAAGAGGAUACGACGUCCGAUAAGAGUAAGUGUUGACUUUGGGUUUUAUCCCAAAUUGGUCUCUCAUUACUUCAGCAAUCUUAUCGGCCCAAUAAGCAUCGGCAUCUUGCCGAUGGGGUGGUUGUGGAUCUACCGCCUGCUGAUAAACAUCCACGUGUCGCUGAGGCGCACGAUCUGCAUGGAACAUGGGAUUGAUCGUCUGACCACCAAACUGUUGACCAAGAUUCAUCGGCUGGUUGGCCAACCCUUGAUUCUGGAACCCAGGUUGGAUCUGGCCUUGUUGAAACCCCGAAGCCUGAUGAUUCUGUUGAGGCAUUUGUGGAAAGACUAACUGCCCCGUCCAUCCACUGUUAGCAUUCAUCGGCAUGAAUCCUGCCGAUGGCUGAAGAUUGGGCAUCAUCAUUUAAUUGCCACACCCUGGUUGUGUCAUAGACCUCUGCUGCAUCGGGAUUGAAUCUGCCGAUGCGUUAGGCAUCUGAAACGUUGAAGCUUGAGAAUUCCCAGCGUAAGGUCUUGCAGUAGUAGUUGUAGUAUACUGGGAACUCUGAUUCAUCGGCAAAUUUGGAGGUGCCGAUGCCAUAGGAGCCUUGCCUCUCGUGUCAGCCGUCUCAGAUGUUCUAGGAGUCUUCAACAUCAUCUCUGGGGGCAUACCAUAACCCCACCAGUUGGGAGGAACGGACCCCGACAUCGCCGAUGCCAAUAGAUUUGUGGUAAGCUUGAUCUGCACAUCUGAAGUUGAGGAUUGGUCGUCAUCGGCGUAGAUUGCACAUUAGUGAGCCCUAAUGUGCUUGGAGGAGUAGUAGUUUCUGUACCCACAUCGGCCGUAGUAGCCGAUGGAGCUGUGACAACUGGUGAUCCUGACUGAUGAUAGACAGGGCCCACAUAAUUUGGUGGCAAUUGUCCCUCUUUGAAAGUUCUGGCCACGGCGUUGAAAACCGUGUUGGACAGCACACCAGCUUGGUUCAUCAAGGCACGGUUGAUAGCAUUGUCAACCAUGUCUUGGAGUUUACCAGGAUUGGCUUCAAAAGUGACCUGCCAAGGUGCCGGCAGUGCUUCCUUCUGGAUUACUUCGCCGCUCCUGUUGAUACAGAAGGACUUCAAACAUUGCUGCUUGUAAUCCUCCAUAGCUUUUGCAAUAGCUUGCUUCUGCUCAUCUCUGAGAUUGGCUUCCGUCACGGGGAUAACGUUCUCCAAGUCGAACUCGGUAGUCGACAUGUCGAUCUUGAUCUUGAGUCUGGUCCCACUGGGCGUGCCAAAAGAUGUGUUGAUGCAAAAGCUGAUCUGCAAACACAAAGGGCUAAUACCCGAUUUAAACGUUAAGGCGUGCCAGCCGAUCUGACCUUACUAUCGGCAAAGGUGAUAACUCGAAUACUUUGGUCCCGACAACAGCGAUACACCCGGAUGUCACGGCCAAGAGGUAUUCACGCGGAACUCGAGAAUAUGCCGAGCUUAAGUCGACGAACUCCUAAGAACUCGUAAUAAAAAGGAAAAAUAUGACGAAGUCGUCGAAAAAGUAGAUGCCGGAAUAUGAGUAAAAACUUGUGUUUGAUUGAUUGAUAGAUAUCUCAUUACAAGGCCCUAGGGUCUACAUUUAUACCCUGCUCAAAGAGCUACAAUCAGACACGACUAGGACUCGAAUUCCAAAUUAAACAGAAUCUGUAUACAAAACGAAUUUAAAUAACUAAGGAAAACAUAAAACUACCCCCUUGUAACCGACCAGGACACCACCACAGAUCGAUCGGCAAUCUCCAUGCUUCCCUUCAGAGUCAUCGGCAGCCUUUCUGUUAUGGCCAUCGGCAAACACCGACAUUGAUCAUCGGUAAGAACACGUCACCACCUCUGGACUUAGUCAUAUUCAAUCGUCUCUUCAUCAGCAACUAUCCUCAUCGGUAACUCUUCUGCAGACUAGUUACCGUUGCUCCACCUGCCGAUCUAUACUCCACAGGUCCCUGGGUACGUGUCCAAAAACGGCAUCAAUAGUCAUAAAUUGCAAAUUAAAGUAUUAUAAGUUUCUAAUUUUGAAUAAAGAAAUUAAAGUAACAAAAAAUAAUUUCUCUAAACAAGCAAAAUUAAAAAAGCACAAAAAUUCUCUAUUUUUCUAAAUAAUCAUGAAAUGUGAUAUGCAUACUAGUUAUAAUUAACUAAUUAAAUUGGUCAAAAAUUGUAAAUUAAAGUAUUAUAUAUUUUAAUUUUUUUCUAAACUAAUUAAAAUAAAAAAACAUAUUAUUACUAUUUCUCUAAAAAAAUGCGUCGCUGUUGACAAGACGAUGAAGCUAAUAACCUCUUAAAAAACCAUAAAAUAAAAAACAACAUACAUAACACUAGAAAAUGACAUAUGCCACUGCUAAUUGUUGAGAAGAUGAAGCUAGUGACCUCUUAACAAGUCGACGACGGUGUAGAAAUGAUGAAAUGAAUCAACAGCCGGAGAUGAGAGCAAGAACAAGCAACUCCAAAUGAAGAAUACAACAAAAGAGUAAAGAUCGAUGGGCUCGGCCAGGGGAAGAAGAGUUCAAAUAUGGGGAAGGACAUUUAGUCUUGGUUCUAUUUAAAAACCGGGUGUAAAUUCCAACACUCGUCCUGGCCGGUGAGACGGACCGGGACAACAGCUUUUAAUCCCGGUUGGUGUUACCAAUCGGGACUAAAGGCAGGACUUUUGUCCCGGUUCCUGAGACCAACUGGGACUAAGGGUACCCUCUGCCGAUCUCUGACACCAUAGCCGUUGGGCAGGGGACUUUUAGUCCCGGUUGGUCUCAGCAACCGGAACUAAAUAUGUUUUCGUCCCGGACGCUGGUUGGGCCGAGAUUAUUGUUCAUUUUGGGUAAGUAACCAAAGGCCUGUUCUGUAGUAGUGAUGUUCGGCUUAUCCCUAUGUUUUUCUAAAAUCACUUUGCCACUUUCUCAAGCUUAAUUUUUUUUUAUGUUUAGAGUUUCCCAAAAUAUCUUUCUCCCAAUUCAAAUAAUCCAUUUGAGAUCAUUGCACAUCAAAUUAUCUCUAAUAUAUAUCUUCACCGGAAAUAUUCUGAAUUCUGCUAAAACUUUUUCCAACAUAUCCAAGGAAACUCAUAUUUAUUGGACUCCACAUGCUUUAUUUGGGCUAUUUUGCUUGACGUGAUGACACGUAUUUACAUUCCAAAAGGAGCAAUCGACCAGGCCUUGUCCUUCAUGGUUAAAGAUCACAUCGUCCGCUUCAUCAUAAAGUAAUCAAUCAUUUAUAUAAUAUUAUAUAUAUAUAUAAAUAUGUAUAUGACAUAUAUAUAUAUCAAUCUCUAUGAAACGCACACGCCGGAAAUUCUAUAUUUAUCUAGUCGUAUCUGACUAUAAAUAGCAUCUAACGUUUCUUUUGCAAACCCUUGAAAAUAAGGCAAUUGAUUAUGAUCCACGCCGCCGCACACAACAUCUGAGCUAGCAAGGCCGCCGGCUGUGUUCCUGCCGAUCUCCAACAUGGGUGCGUGUCGAGGAUAUCAGUAAGGGGUACCUCAACUGAUGUCCAUGCCGAGAUUGUCCAUACACAAAUCGAGGCCUCCCAAUCGACGCCUUGUCCAGUUGCGCAUACGAUCGUCGACGACCGCAGCCUCAAAGACGGAAAGGGCGUCGAGCGAAUCAACCAGAGCUCGAGCGCAGGCUACCGUCGAAUACGGAAACAGGCUUGAGCGAGUCGGAGGGCGUCGAGCGUAAGGACGCCGCUCGCCGCCUGACACGGGCACGGGAACCAGGGCAUUUAAUGCGCCUGUCGUGUUCUCACCUAACACGCAAGUCACGGGAAGCGUGAUAGGGAACAGGCACCCGUCCCGUCAUUCUUUUUGCAGCCUUCCCCACCAAACAAUCCAGAGCAUGUGAGGACGCAGGAAACAAGGUCGGAACGUCUAAUCAAGACCCCCUCGAGACGUCCAAGGUCAGCGCUCCGGCUAGCAAGGCAUUACACGGCGUCCGACCCUCGACCAGACGCGUUUCCUUCCUGAGGAAGGGUUGGGCAUCGAAUGACAACUCCACAACUACUCCGACGUAUCUGCCGCCAUGACGUACAGGCGUGCGACAGAUAAACCAGCCCAAGACGGCGCACAGAGCAGGAUACAGGGGCACGCGUAAUCAUCAUCAAGCUACCCGGACGGGACGGCUCGAGACCACGCCGGUACGGAGGCCUCGAGUAGGUCAGCGCGCCAUACCUCUAUCGACCCCUACUCUGACGCCCAUACUUGUACCCUAGGCUUCUCCUUGGAACUAUAAAAGGGGAGGCCCGGGAAAAGAUACAGGAUCAGGCGAUACAACACUCACACAUAGUGGAGCUUCCAUACUCCAUCCCAGUUCAUACACGCUUGUAUUCACCCCUGUAAAAGCACUUAGGUGCAAGAUAAUAUAAACUCUCCUCCCCCACUGGACGUAGGGCCUUCUCUCGCCUGAACCAGGAUAAAUCUUUGUGUCUUCUUGCAUCACCAUCUGGAAAAGGGAACACGCAAACAAAUUUACUCGUUGGUGAGACCCCCCAUGGGGAAAACACCGACAGUUGGCGCGCCAGGUAGGGGUCCUGCGUGUUUUUCACUGAUUUCCCAUUCUUUUCCAGAUGGCCUCUCUCACUUCGCUGAUUCCGCGCUCCACGGUGAUUUGGUUUGGGAGUCCUGAGUUCAUGUCUACUGGCUCCGGCUAUGACAUGAUCUUGCUCUCGAUUAAAGGACCGGGAGGAGCCCGCGUUGCGCCAGCACGGUCGAGGGCCCCGAGAUGCCCUCGCCAUCACGCCUCCCCGCCCAAGAAGAGGCGUGGACAGCACCAUCGUUGCCUUUCUGCCUCGUCACGACCGAUAGUUCGUGCCAGGUGGGAGGGGACAUAGGAGCCGACAGCACCGCGCGCCGGAACUGUGAGCUGGACGGCUCAGCGCCGCAAGGAUCAAACGACGACAGGAGGUGACGCGCCCCGCGUGCUCUCCCCCACCGCUAGGUUACUGCCACAUGGGCUGUUCGCUCCAAGAAGAGCGUUGUCGUUUGGUUUGGACAAUGUCGCGGCGUCGCUCGCUAGGGCAGUAUGUCCAAACGCCCAGACGUACGUGGAGAGACCAAUGGUCCUCCCACGCGCGCCUGGAUCACCGCGACCGACGUGCGAGCUGCCAGAUUUCUCCCAGGUGCGAGGCCUCCGCCGCCUAGGCCCUGGGCGAUACACGAUUACCUCUCUCAGGCAGCGGCUGCUGGAGGAAGGACGCGGAUGCUUCUACGCCGCCGAGUCGGACUCCGGCUUGGAAUCUGACAGCUAUGACCCUACUAGGGAGUGCUUCCAUAUCGACAGACCACCGACGAGACACAGGAGGCUGUUGCAGGCGGUCGAGCCCCUGCAGCAAGGGAAGACCCCAGGACGCCCGGGAACGACGGACAAAUCGACCCACUUCCACAGGAAGACAGAGCCGCGAAACUUGCGCAGCUACGAGAGCUCAAGACGAAACUUGACGAAGAUCGUGAGCGCCUCAUCCUGCUCGAGCAAAUCCUUGAACAGGACCUGCCUUACCCGCCUGGCGGAAGCGUCCGCAAACGGGCUCGAGAGGUACAUAGGCAGAUUGUCGGGGACGGGGAGCCAGAAUAGCCUGUCAGCCGCUUUCCUCGCGCGGGCUAGAAUGUUGUGGCAGUAACAAUGCUGUUGCGUAACAUGCCCGAGCCCUCGAACUCCCAAGCACGGCGCAUCCGAGACGAGGUGCAGACUCUGCUCCAGGUAGCGGCAGUUCAACAAGCAGAGAGCUCGGCCUCCCGACGUUGAGGGGCAGGUACUGAAAAGCGCGAUAAGCCAGCCCAAAAUGAAAAGGAGGUGUCGGUCCAUCAGCAGCCACCUCCUUGAGGGAGAAAGACCACGCUCGUCCUCCCCGUCGACAACCAGCGACGCCACGACGCGAGACAUGACAUCGACGAGAAUCGUCGCUGUCGGUAUGGAGAUGCAAAAGAGCGCGGCUACAGCGCCCACCGCGGCGGGAGGUAUGAUAGCGACGAGGUCCGGAUGGCCCCAGAACCACCAGGCCCGCGGGUGUUCAGCAGGGCAAUCCGCAGCACGCCGCUGCCCAGCCCGUUCCGACCCCCGACCAGCAUUGCAAAGUACAUCGGUGAGACCAAGCCAGAGCUGUGGCUGGCAGAUUUCAGGCUGGCCUGUCAGCUAGGUGGCGCCCGAGGGGACGAUCGAGCCAUCAUCAGACAGCUGCCGCUCUUCCUCUCCGACACUGCCCGCAGAUGGCUCGAGGAGCUCCCGGCCAACCAGAUUUACGAUUGGGCCGAUUUGGUCAGGGUGUUCGAGGGUAACUUCAAAGGAACCUACAUACGACCCGGCAACUCGUGGGACCUCAGCAAAUUCAAGCAGAAGUCGGGAGAAACCCUCCGAGAAUAUACUCGAUGCUUCUCGAAGCAGUGCAUCGAGCUGCCACACAUCCCCAACCACGACGUCAUCCUGGCCUUUGUCUCUGGUACCAGCAGUCGAGACUUGGAGCAGGAAUUGGGCCGGAAUCGCCCUCAGACCGUCGACGAGCUGAUGGACGUAGUGGCAAACUACGCUGCUGGGGAAGAAGCGGUGGGCGCCUUCUUCAGCUGUGAAGGAAGGAAAGGCAAGCCGCCCGUCGAUGACGACGAGGGUCCCAGUCGAGGACCCAGGAAGAACAAGAAGAAGAAGAAAACAUGACCGUUCCAGCGGGAAGACCUCGACGACGAUCUCGUCGCCGCCAUGGAACGCAAAAGGCCUCGAGGCCCUCCAGAGGGGGGAAUCUUCGAUAAGAUGCUAAAGGAGCCAUGCCCUUACCACAAGGGAGGGGCAAACCACAAGCUCGAGGACCGCCGUAUGCUGAAAAAGCAUUUCGAUGGUCUAGGGUUCAAGAAGGACGCCCGCAACGACCCAAAGAAGGAGAAGAGCGGCGACAAGGAGGACAACAAAGACGAUGACGGUUUCCCAGCCGUCCACGACUGCUACAUGAUCUAUGGCAGACCCUCGACGCAGUUGACCGCAAGGCAGCGCAAGAGGGAACGUUGUGAGGUCUUCGCUGCAAGAAUGGCGGUGCCCCAGUACCUUAGCUGGUCGAGCACCCCUAUCACCUUCGAUCGAGAGGACCACCCCGACAAGGUGGUCGCCCCUGGCGUCUACCCGCUCGUCGUCGACCCCUUUAUCGUCAACACCCGGCUCUCAAAAGUGCUGAUGGACGGCGGCAGCAGCCUCAACAUCAUCUACCUCGAGACCCUUGACCUCCUAGGCAUCAACAGGGCGCAGCUCCAGCCAAGCGCCGGUGGCUUCCAUGGUGUCGUACCAGGAAAGAAGGCGUUGCCAAUAGGUCGAAUCGACCUACUAGUUAGCUUUGGCACGGCGGCCAACUUCAGAAAGGAGACCCUCACCUUUGAGGUAGUGAGAUUCCGAGGUACAUACCACGCCAUCAUUGGGCGCCCGGGUUACGCCAAAUUCAUGGCCAUCCCCAACUACACCUACCUGAAGCUGAAGAUGCCCGGUCCCAAGGUCGUCAUCACCGUCAGCUCCUCUUUCGAGCACGCAUACAAGUGCGACGUCGAAUGCGUCGAGUAUGGAGAAGCGGUCGGGAGUUCCACCGAGCUCGCCUCGAAGCUCGAGGCCCUGGCCGCAGAGGCUCCAGAGCCUAAGCGCUACGCGUGCAGCUUCGAGCCAGUAGAAGGAACAAAGAAGAUCCCGCUCGACCCUAACAACUCCGACGGCAAGGUGCUGACGAUCAGCGCCGACCUCGACCCCAGAUAGGAAGCUGUGCUCGUCGACUUUCUCCGUGCAAACGCCGACAUGUUUGCAUGGAGUCCCUCGGACAUGUCGAGCAUACCGAGGGAAGUCGCCGAGCACUCCUUGGAAAUUCGAGCCGGUUCCAAGCCAGUGAAGCAACGGCUGUGCCGCUUCGACGAGGAGAAGCGCAAGAUCAUUGGCGAGGAAAUCCACAAGCUUUUGACAGCCGGAUUCAUCAAGGAGGUUCACCAUCCCGACUGGUUAGCAAACCCUGUAUUAGUUAAGAAAAAGAAUGGGAAAAUGAGGAUGUGUGUCGGUUAUACAAGUUUGAAUAAAGCAUGUCUGAAAGUUCCUUUUCCAUUACCACGUAUCGAUCAAAUUGUUGAUUCUACUGCGGGAUGUGAAACCCUUUCUUUCCUUGAUGCAUAUUCUGGUUACCAUCAAAUAAAAAUGAAAGAGUCCGACCAGCUCGCGACAUCCUUCAUUACGCCUUUUGGGAUGUAUUGUUAUGUAACCAUGCCGUUCGCGCUUCGAAAUGCGGGAGCAACAUACCAGCGCUGCAUGCUCCACGUCUUUGGCAAGCACAUAGGGUCGACGGUCGAAGCCUAUGUCGAUGACAUCGUCGUCAAGUCAAAGCGACGGGGAGACCUGAUUCAAGACCUCGAGAUCGCUUUCAAUUGCUUACGCGCCAACCAGAUCAAGCUCAACCCCGAGAAGUGCGUUUUCGGUGUGCCUCGAGGUAUGCUCCUGGGCUACAUCAUUUCCCAGCGCGGCAUCGAGGCUAAUCCCAAGAAAGUCUCGGCCAUCACGGGAAUGGGGCCAAUCCGAGACAUCAAGGGCGUGUAGAGAGUCAUAGGAUGCUUAGCGGCGCUGAGUCGCUUUAUCUCGAGGUUAGGGGAAAAGGCGUUGCCGCUAUACCGACUCUUGAAGAAAGUCGAGCGUUUCUCUUGGACCCAAGAGGCCGAGGAAGCCCUCGAUAACUUGAAGAAAAUGCUAACCUCUGCACCAGUCCUAGUCCCGCCUCGACCCGCAGAACCUCUGCUUCUAUACGUCGCGUCGACGACCCAGGUCGUCAGUGCAGCAGUAGUGGUCGAGAGGCUGGAGGAGAGGCACGCGCUGCCAGUCCAGAGGCCGAUCUAUUUCAUCAGCGAAGUGCUCUCGGAGACCAAGGCGCGUUACCCACAAAUCCAGAAGCUAAUCUACGCCGUAAUCCUCGCCCGACGCAAGUUGCAGCACUACUUCCUCGGCCACCCUAUCACGGUGGUCUCGUCCUUCCCCUUGGGCGAGAUCAUCCAGAGUCGGGAGGCCACGGGAAGAAUCGCUAAGUGGUCGGUCGAGCUCAUGAGUGAGACCCUCACCUAUGCGCCCCGGAAAGCUAUCAAGUCACAAGCCCUGGUGGAUUUCGUCGCGGAAUGGACAGACUCCCAGCUCCCCCCGGCUCAGGUUCAGGCGGAGCUGUGGACGAUGUAUUUCGAUGGGUCUCUCAUGAAAAUGGGAGCUGGGGCAGGCCUGCUAUUCAUCUCGCCCCUGGGCGUUCAUAUGAGGUAUGUCAUCAGGAUUCAUUUUGCCGCGUCCAACAAUGUCGCAGAGUACGAGGCUCUUGUCAACGGUCUGAAGAUCGCCAUCGAGAUAGGAGUCCGACGCCUCGACGUUCGAGGCGACUCUCAGCUCGUCAUCGACCAAGUGAUGAAGGCAUCGAACUGCCACGACCUGAAAAUGGAAGCGUACUGCAAGGAGGUCCGUCGACUCGAGGACAAGUUCCACGGCCUCGAGCUCGUCCAUGUCGCUCGACGCUACAACGAGGCAGCUGACGAACUCGCUAAGAUCGUAUCGACUCGAGGCACGAUCCCACCCGACAUGUUCUCGAGAGAUCUACACAAGCCAUCCGUCGACUUGGGCUCGGGGGCUGGUGUCGAAGCCGCUCCUGCCCAGCAGACUGACACCGUCGAAGUGCUACUAAUGGCAGCUGAGGUAAUGGAGGUGGAGCAGCGGCCUGGUCGACCGUUUGACUGCCGCACGCCGUUCCUUGACUGCCUAAUCCGCUGCGAGCUACCAGAAGAUCGAUCCGAGGCCCGCCGUAUCGCUCGACGGGCCAAAUCAUAUGUAAUCUACGGCGAAGACAACGAGCUAUACCGACGAAGCCCGACGGAGAUCUUGCAGCGCUACAUCACCAUAGAAGAAGGCCGAAAACUUCUCGAGGAUCUACACUCGGGGGCUUGUGGUCACCAUGCCGCUCCACGGACCCUUGUAGGGAACGCUUUCCGACAAGGCUUCUACUGGUCAACGGCCGUAGCUGAUGCCAUCGAGCUCGUACGAUCAUGCCAUGGGUUCUAUGCCAAGCAGAGGCAUCUGCCCGCCCACGCUCACCAAAUGAUCCCCAUCACAUGGCUGUUUGCGGUGUGGGGGCUCGACUUAGUAGGGCCUCUACAGAAGGCAAAAGGGGGGUACACCUACUUGUUGGUGGCCAUCGACAAAUUCUCCAAAUGGAUCGAGGCUCGACCCAUCACCCACAUCUGCUCCAAACAGGCUGUCCUUUUCUUCACCGACAUCAUCCACCGGUUAGGGAUUCCCAACGUCAUCAUCACUGACAAUGGCACUCAGUUCACUAUCAAAAAUUUCUUGGACUUCUGCGAUCAGCAUCACAUCCGUGUGAACUGGUCUACAGUGGCCCACCCUCGAACUAACGGCCAGGUCGAGCGUGCCAACGGCAUGAUUUUGCAAGGGCUCAAACCGAGGAUCUACAAUCGCUUGAAGAAAUUCGGCAAGAAAUGGGUCGAAGAGCUUUCCUUGGUCCUAUGGAGCUUAAGGAUGACGCCAAGCAGGGCCAUAAAAUACACCCCAUUCUUCAUGGUCUAUGGCUCUGAGGCCGUGCUCCCAACGGACCUCGAGUACGGAUCCCCUCGACUCAAAAGCAUACAACGAGCAAUCAAAUAAAGAGACUCAAGAGAACGCGGUCGAUCAACUCGAGGAAGCUCGAGACAUGGCCCUCCUCAACUCUGCUAGAUAUCAGCAGAAGCUUCGACGCUACCACGACAAGCACACGCACAAGAGGGACUUGAAUGUAGGCGACCUCGUCCUACGGCGGUGGCAAAGCAAUCAAGGACGCCACAAGCUGACUCCACCUUGGGAGGGCCCAUACGUAGUGGCCGAGGUCUUGAAGCCGGGGACAUACAAGUUCGCGGAUGAAAAGGGGGCGAUCUUCACCAACGCGUGGAACAUCGAACAGCUACGGCGAUUCUACCCCUAGAAUUUCAAAGCUUUAUGUUCCCAUGUACAUACAGUACCAAGGACUUGUGAAUGAAUGCAUGAAUAAGAUCUUUUCCUCGAGCAAUUUACCUUUUCACGAGUCGAAAUCUCGACGUUAGAUGGGAGUACCCACUAUGACCCAUCAUAGUUGAUACCCCCUCGGGGGCUAGCAAGGGGGUGAUGCCCCCCAAGUGUCAAAAAAACCAAGUAAUCCUUUCGUUCCUAUCAGUAAUCUUGUACGGUUGAGCAGUAUAGGCAUCUCGAGCCCCUUAAGGGCCGAGACUCGAUGAGCCUGAGAACUCCUACGCCCCCGGGCUACGGAAACUCUACUCGCUUCCUCACCCUUGAGGCAAUGGAGAUCGCCUUAAACGAAAGACCAAACGAGGAAUACAAACAUAGGCGCAAAAGGAAACAAAGGAGCCUCGAGCGGAAAGAUGGGCAAACAUUCACGAAUAUUGUAAGUCACUUAAAAACACAAUAUUGCACAAGAUAGAAUGGCAAAGUGCUAUACAAGGGGCCUAGGCACCCAGAGCAGGCUCACAGGCCUCAAUCUGCAUCUCGGCCCUCACCAUCCUCGCCCGCGCCUGAGCUACUCUCAGGAGGAAGUACUUCUGGCUCGAACAGCUUAGCCAACCUCUCCCUAGGGACCUCUGCGUCAUCGAUCAAGGCGUGGAGCCUUUCCUCGUUCUCCGCGUCAGUCUUGGAAAUGUCGGUGACGAAGCCGUGGGACACCACCUCCAUGUCGUAAGAAAAGCCUGAGCAGACUACCACCAUCGCUCGCUUCACUGCGACAUGAAGAGCAUCCCGCACCCAGUCCCUCAGCGUAGCACCAAGGUAGCAUAGCUGGUCAACGAGUGCGUCGCCUCGAGCCUCCUCCCUUGACUCGUCAACAGGCUCCAGCUCCUAGGAGGCCGAGAGGUCGCUUAUCGCAAUCCGAAGACGGCCAUUCAAGGCGACCUCCCCCUCGAGCUGAGUCUUGAUGGAACGGGCCUCGACUUGGGCGGCCAGCAGCUCAUCUUUGAGCCCCGCAAUGACCAACAUGAAGGAAUUAGAUAACACCAGGCACACCUCAGAAAAGAAACUCGAUAGUAGAAACAUACCACGGAUGCUCUCCUACAGAGCCGUGUUCUCGCCAACCAAGUUGGUGUUGGCCCUCUCGACCUCCUAGUUAGAGCGCGCCAGCUCGGUGUUAGCGACACGUAGAUCUUCGAUCACCUUGCCGGCUUGCGCGAUGGCCUCAUCUUUUUCCAGCAGCGCUCUCUUCAGACGAUCGACAUCGUUAGAAAGGCUGCGGGAUCGAGCCCGCUCCGCCUCGAGAUCUUCGAGGGCCUUCUUCAUGGCCUCCUCUGCGGCGCUCCUGGCGAUCUCGCCAUUCAUGCACUCCACCUUCAUCCUUUGGAAGGUUUCUCGGGCGGAGGCGAGUUCAGUCUGGAGGAGGCCCUUCUCCUUAUCUAGGUCAGCAGCCGCGCUCUUGUAGGUCAGGGCCUCGUCCCGGGCCUUGGACGUAGCUUCCUCGACCGUCAUAGCCCGCUCCCUCAGCAGCGCAGCCUCUUCCACCGCCUUCCUCGAGGCCUCUCGAGCCUCAACCAGAGCAGCCUCCCUCUCGUUCUUCUCCUCCUCGAGCGCCAAGAGCUCCUUAUGGGCCUUGAGGAGUUUCUCCUGUGACUCCAGGAGUUUGUCCUUGAGGAUGGGGAGCUGCUCCCAGCCGCCUCUCGUGGUGUGGAUGAAGCUCGACUUGAUGCGGGAAGUUUCUUUCAGGUCCUGCGAGCCAGCGAUUGAGCAGUUAGGACACCAAGUCAAACGUUCUAUAAAGAUUAAGGACUGGAAAAUAAUUACAAAGUAGGCCGGUCCAAGCCCGUUGUUAACAACGUCGGACAGGAGCCCCACCGUAUGUUUCAUCCAAAGGCGGAGCUCCUCGACGUGCUCCCACUUUUCGGCCUCCUUCCGGUCGUCCAGGAAGAUGUUGGGUUCAGACGGAUCGGUGGAAGCCCGGAUGCGGAUCCGGUCGGGGCACCAGUUCUCCAUCUCCUGGUCGGCACGCGCCUUGACGCCUCGGAUGAGUUCUUCGACGGUCUCGAGCGACCCCCCGUGGCGCAGGAACAAGUCGACGAGGUAGGGGAACUGCACAUCGUCAUCCACCGUCUUCCAGGUCCCGGUCUCGCUGCCUCCACCACCACUUGACGUACCAGCCUCGUCCUCCUCAGCGGGAAUACGGUCUUCCCACGACCAACGCUCUCGGAGGAACCCCGGAGCGAUUCCGUCCAUGCCAUAGAUUGUCCUCCUCAUCUCGGACUCGGGGUCGGCGGGAGUACGCAUCAUGCAGGCGAGCACCACCAUGCCAUCCGCCCGCCCCGACUCUGCUGGGAUCGAUGCAGGCGCCCCUGGACGGAGCCACACCGGGGUCGGAGGGCCGAAAACUGGCAGACCCCCCUCCUGGUUGCCAGGCUCUUGUAGCACUUCUGGCUCUGGAUGGGGAGGAUCGAGCAGUUCCGCCAGCUGCUGGCCCCACUGCUGCUGCUGCUCCUGGAGCUCCCGCGGCUCCUGUUGGUGGUCUUCCUCCGGUGGUCCCUCGAGCUGGGGACUGGCCAUCGGAUGCCCUUCCUCCUUCUCUUUCUGUUGUAGCCGCUGUUCCUCUUGCAGCUGCUGCCGCGUCCCCCGUUCACCCUCCUCUUCCUCCUUCCUCCUCUGCUCCUCGACGGAGCGAAGCCCGGCAGGCUAGGGCGUCCGCUUCGCGACGAGAGAAGUCUGGGCUCCAGACCCCUCACGAGCGGUAGGCCUCGACCGGUAGGCCUCGAACCACCCCGCGUCGGGGCUCCAGACCCCUCAUGAGCGAGCGCCGGCCGUGGCUCGGCGUCUCCCCCUUGGCGAGCGCCAGGGCUAGCGCUCCUGCGGCUUGUUUCCCCCUUGCCGGAGGCCGCAGCAUGGCCACGGGUCAACGGCCCCGACGCCUGGGGCUUGGCCCGGUCACCCGCCUUUGGUGCAGGGGGAGGUUGGGGGUGCGGGACGGAUCGGCUUUGAGCCGGUGCGGGAGGGACGUCGGCACGGGAGUGGCGGGGGGACGACUCCCUCUGCUGCCUCUCAAGAGACCCGCCUGGUCCCUCCUUUGGCGCUCCCAUCCGCGGGACAUCAGCAUUAGCUCGAGGCGGACCCUCGAGGAUCCUGUCAAGCUGGGACGCCAUCCCCUCGGAGUCGUCGCUGCUACCGUCACCGUCACCGCCGUCCUCCUCAUCGGGGGAUUCUUCUUCAGGCUCCCCCCUUUGCCUGGAUUUAGCUCGACGCGCCUCUAACGCUUGGCGGACGAGAUUCUUCAUCUUCUCUUUCUUCUUCUCUGAGUCUUUUAUGGACUUCUGCUUCUCGGCGGACUGGCGUCGCUUGUCGCGGUCGGCCCUAUCCUCCUUUACUGGAGGCCUUGAGGAACGUCGAUCGGUCCCUGCGAGAGGAAAGAUUAGCUUAAAGAGGGAUCGAAGGAAACCCAGAAUCAAAACCAUGUGCAAAAGAGAACUUACCAGAUCGAUUGACCCCUCAUCAGGCCUCAUGGGGAAGCCAUUGACGUGCUCUGGCUGGAAGUCGCCGGCGACGGCCGCCCGGACCCGGGCCGCAACUUCAUCAUCCGCUGGAGCCUUGUUGGACAUCCGACACGCCUCGAGGUCCCGGGACGAGACGGCAGGACCCAUCUCGUCCAUCCUCAGCGGCCAAGACAUCAACGGGAGAACCCUCUGAUGAUGGACGGCCGAGAGGACGAGAGCGGCGGUCAGGCCUUCCACGCGCAAUUUCUUCAAGGCGUCGAGGAGGGGGUCAAGCCACAACUGGUGAACUUGGACGACUCCGUACGUCCAGUUCUUCAGGCGCUCCGUGAUCAGGCGGCCGGUGUAGGCAGGAAGGAGGCCAUCGUCAUUCCUCAGGUAGAACCACUGGGAGUCCCAUCCGGCGUGGUUCGAUGAUAAUCCUACCGGGAUGUGCUCGCGUGGCCUCUCCGUCUUCCCCGUCUUCAGCACCAAGUUGAGGCACUCGGCCCGCACGGGUUUCCUCACGCCUGUGGUCCCAGUGGGGGCGUUGAAGAGCUCGGCCCUGUAGAGGUGGAGCCACAGGUCCCAGUGGGGCAUCACCCCUAAAUAGCCCUCACACACCGCGGCAAAGACCGCCACGACGGUGAUGGCCUUUGGGGAGAAAUGCUGGAGCUCCACCCCGUAAUGGUGGCAGAGCGCCCGCAUGAAGCGACUCGGGGGAGCGCCCAGGCCGUGGCAGUGGAAUUUGGCAAACGAAACCACAUAGCCCUUGGGCGGCUUGGGCUCCCGGUGGUCCACCGACGGCACAAUCCACUCCGGCGACGACAACGAUGUGCGGUGGCGUAGGAGUCCCUCCCUCUCGAGCUCCAGCAACUGGCGCUCUGUCAUCGACGACGGGCGCCAGUCGUCGGCGGCGACGAGUCUCACAGGCAUCUUUGGGUGGAAGGAAGGCGAGUUUGCUGCUACUCGAGGGUGCGUGCACGCGUGAGAUGGCAAGGGAGCUAAGGCAAGAAUGGAGGCAGAAAGCGGAAGGGAGAACGGCAACCAGGCCACGGGAUAUUUAUAGACAGCAACCACCAACGGACGGAUCUGAUAAAUACGGUAACUCCCCCCAUAAAUGGGCUGCUAAUGGUCUUUUUCCUCUCACAGACGGGGCGCUACGAAUUCUGCGCCGAUACAGCAUCGCAACGGCUCCCGCCUGAAAAGACGCGCUCAAUGGGCAAAAAGGUGAACCGCCACGGCCUUUUCCUUCCCUUGUAAGCCAAGGUACGUAUCUAUGAGAGUCUCGAGAGGUCGCAGGCUGACCCGCCGAAAGGGUUCGACAGCCGAUCUCGAGCACCAGAGUCAGGGAUGCCCGGCGAGUGGUCGAAAGUCGAGGCCCGCCUCGAGAACUCGCUGGGGAUGUCCAAGGUAGGGUCCAGACAGUCGAGAGGAAUCCCCCUGACGGGAGGCAUCGAGCCACUGGACUCUAUCAAACGAGACCAGCAUCCCCGACCACGUCGACCCCGCUUUAUGAGAACGCCUCCGGGCUAUAGCUGAUCCCCUCAAAAGGGGCACAGGUUCUCACUUGGACUACCCGUUAGGAACUCGAUCUGGGGUGGAUGACGCUCGCUCUAUCGAGAGUACGUCGAAACCCCUACGUAGACGAGCCAAUCAGUACCUUCCACCACAGGUGUCGACAGCGUUUCUGUACAUUAGGCGACAUAACCCUCGAAGGAGUCAAAAACUCCUCCAAGGGCUCGGGGGCUACCCCCGCGGGGUCACUCGCGCGCCCCCACGGAACCUCAACCAUAAAAUAUAGCCUCCACUCGAGCGCCAGCGCUCAAAUAGAGACUCGGGGGCUACUGUCGAGGAUAUCAGUAAGGGGUACCUCAACUGAUGUCCACGCCGAGAUUGUCCAUACACAAAUCGAGGCCUCCCAUUCGACGCCUUGUCCAGUUGCUCGUACGGUCGUCGACGACCGCAACCUCGAAGACGUAAAGGGCGUCGAGCGAAUCAACCAGAGCUCGAGCGUAGGCUACUGUCGAAUACGGAAACAGGACGGCUCGAGACCACGCCGGUACGGAGGCCUCGAGUAGGUUAGCGCGCCAUACCUCUAUCGACCCCUACUCUGACGCCUAUACUUGUACCCUAGGCUUCUCCUUGGAACUAUAAAAGGGGAGGCCCGGGAAAAGAUACAGGAUCAGGCGAUACAACACUCACACGUAGUAGAGCUUCCAUACUCCAUCCCAGUUCAUACACGCUUGUAUUCACCCUUGUACAAGCACUUAGGUGCAAGAUAAUAUAAAUUCUCCUCCCCCGCUGGACGUAGGGCCUUCUCUCGCGCGAACCAGGAUAAAUCUUUGUGUCUUCUUGCAUCACCAUAUGGAAAGGGAGCACGCAAAUAAAUUUACUCGUUGGUGUCACCCCCCGUGGGGAAAACACCGACAGUGCGUCUUGUUCCCGGCCGGCAAUCUGCGCCUCGCCGACUUCUUUUGCUGGCACCGCCGACCACAUCCAUCAAAGCAUCACACAUCAAAUCCCUAGAUACGUUAACGCACUGCCCCAAGUCCAGUUCAUCGGCCAUCAAUAGCAGGCCAAAGAUCCCAAUGUUGAUGCUCUGAUCGUCUUUGGUCCGGCAUCUCCAGCCGUGAGCCAUGGAGCAUUGUUUGAAGCCCCAUCCUCUUAAAGGUUUGUGUGUCGUCUUCUCAAGUUCGUCAACUGGAGGCUAGCAGACCACAGCCAUGAACAUCGUGAAUACUUGUAGCUCAUGCUGGGACCCUGCGCAGUCGGAUGCUGCGAGAUUUCGUGCUGACGGAGGAGCACGGCUAGGUGAAGCUCUUGCCGCUGGCUCUUCUCGUCGUCGGGUGGAGGAUGCUAUUAUCUGUGCCUGAUCAUUCGUCUUUAGCUAUGGUGAGCAUAUCCACGUCUCUCUGCAUGAUCUCUGUGUAGCUCUGCUACUAGCUUUGGUGCCUAUGUAUCUUUAGCAAAAGAUAGCAUUAUCAUUCAAUCAAAGCAAGCAACACAUGGUUUGACCUUUGCCUUUGCAGUAUCCAUUGUUAACUUGAUUAAACAGUUUUUAAUUUAAAAUCACGUGUCCUUUAUAGUUAGAUUAUAGUAUCGCUCUGAUAUUUUUAUUUAUUUAUACCAAUUAAAGUUCAAAUGAAUUAAAUAAUAGUAUAAGACAUAUUUAUUUAUAAAUAAAGUAUUAAUAUAAUUAGCUGCUUUUGCAUAUGCUUUUUCUUUUGCAAAGAUAAAAAUUAAACUUUAUUAAAUAUGAUUAAAUUUACUUUAGUUUGCUAAUUACAAAAAUGACGUAGGAGUUACACUUCUAUAGUUUAAAUAAAAAUAUUUAUAUGGUUUAGUUAAUUAGUAUCACAAAUGCAUUUUUAUAUUAUAACUUGUUUAGCUUGAAUUCACGGCACAGGCACUUUGAGUAGGUGUUCCCACACGUUAUUUUAAAUUUGGCCAAGAUAAAUCUAAGUUGAAUUAUACGAUAAUAUAUGUUAAUAAAAUACGAUAAUAUAUGUUAAUAAAAUAUGACUAGUCUUAACUUAGCUUUUGAAUUAAAAUAUAUUUUGUCAUGAUUUUGUUUAACUUGUUAAAGCUAUAUGACAAUAUUUAUAGAUAAAUGUUGAUUAGUUUUAGCUCAGUUUCUAAACUAGGAUAUAAUUUGUGUAAUCUAAAUUAACUUGCUUCUUAUGGUUUUGCUAAAUCGAAAUAAAUCAAGGAUGUAGGUUUUCUUUUGUAAAAUAGAAUAAUAAAAUAAUAUAUAACUCCCUAUAGUUGUUUUCUUUUUAACUAUAGACUUGUUCUUAAUGUUUUCUUGCGCUCUCGUGACCGUAGCAGCGAGCUCUCUUUUAGUAUGUUGUUUAACAUUGUCUCGUGUGUUGUUCUUAGUUGUUUCUAUUUGUUGCUUGUAUGUUUUUUUGGUGUGCUUGGUUGCUGUGAUCUGCGAGUAGACGAGAACCGCUUGUGAGUGCGGAAGGCCAGAAGGUGAUGACUAAAAGCUGAUGAUGUGAGAAUUAAGCAAAUAUUCAAGGCAAGUAUAACUUGGGACUAUCCUUGUUACCUACACACUUAUAAUUAAUACAAUAUAUCAUAUGCAUGUGUCCACCUUGAUGACCUUAGCAAAAUCAUAGAUGAUUGUUAUCCUGAAUUCCUUGUUACCUAUUUGCAUAUUCAUUUGGGUAGUUCUUGCUAGUGCUUGAUUAUUAAUCCAUGAUCUUGUGACAUGAAUAUUUGGAUACACAAUAAUUAAUAAAAUAAGCUUUCUAGCAACUUGGACAUAAAGGGUGGAAAGAACUCUAGCUAUUGCUAGAUUGAUCUUGACCCUCCAUAAGGACUUAUCUCUUGGCAAAAGCUGGGACAACUCGUACAACCAUGAGGGCUAUAUGGCUCUGGCUUUAGCUUAGUAUGAAGACCUUUUCUAGCUUGUUAGAGGUUACCCGUAAGGGCGCUAGAGGGGCUGAACCGACACGGGCAUAGUGCGAGCCCCUGUCCCUAUGUGUAUAGGCUGCGCGUCAUUGUGCCAUUCGGAAGGGGGGUAUCUAUAUCUGCUCGCGAAGGAAACCUUGCGGCCCUAAUAUGUUAGACGAACUUUUGAAACGCUUCAUAGUGAUCCCUGCCGACCUCCCUAGGAAGGGGGUUAAGAGACUAGCUACCUCGGGCGAAAGGGUAAAUCAUGACUCAUGGGUAAAGAUGUACAACCUCUGCAGAGUGUUAAAUCUGCUAUACUAGCCGUGCCCAUGGAUACGGGCGGCUCGGAAAACUGACGGAAUAGAUGGACACUGUUGAACAUGAUUAAUGAUGAUAAAUGAUGGUUUAUAUUGUUGUUUAUAUGUGUUAUUCUUUAUUCUUGUGUACAUUGAUCAUGUGAAAAUGGGAUUAUAUGCUACCUUGAUAUUGUUGUUGCAAAAUGAUAAACAUGCUAUAUACAUAUAAAAGCUAAAUGUCAAACCAGUGUGAGCUAUUUGAGCCUCAUGAACCUCUGGUUAUACUUGUUGAGUACGACAUGUGCUCACUCUUUCUAUUUCCCACCACUCCAGUUUACUAGUAAGAGUUAUCAGAGGAGCCGAGGAGUUACGAAGGACGUUCUCAGGAUACAAGAAGUGCUAGGCAUAUGUUACCCCCAGUCAACCGUCCCUGUGAAGAUUAAGCCUAAAGAAUAGUUACCGUUCCGCGAUACUCUGAUGUAAGUGUUAAUUAUAAGUAUGUUUCCACUAUAUAACAUUGUUUUUGAUACUAUUGCUUCUGUUGUUGUAUGUGUGGACUCUUCCUGGGCACACAUAUGGCUUGCUUGGUUUUGUUCUUUAAAACCGGGUCUGACAGAGUGGUAUCAGAGCAGUGUUGACUGUAGGACGUAUGCCUAGAUAGCACUGGUCGAUUAAAAAAAAUCUCUUUGACCAUUGAUUUGAUAAUUUCUCAUCCUCGUCAUAUCGCUUCUCCUCCUUGAUAGCUUCCUUUGAGCUAUUACUUCUUAUCUCCUUGAUUCUUUUUGUCUUUGAAUUACUAAAUUUUUCUGAUCUCACCUUAUUCAAAUUCGCGAUGGCCUUUCAUCAUUUCUAACCCGCCCUUUAGGAUGACCACCAUAUUGAAGAAACACGUAUAGAAUCGAUGAUGUGUUGUGUGCUUGUCUUGUUUGGUGUGUUGCCUGUGUGUCGUCUCUGUUCUUGUACUUUGAAGGAGGCCCGAAAGGUAUCGUCUUGUGAAGUAGCUCAGUCUUGUUAAGUGGGGUAGCGUCCGCUACUGUCGUUAAGUAUCUCAAGUUUCAAGACAUGAAGACCUAAUUAUCAAUCUUAUACUUCUUGUAUAUCUCUUUCUUGUAUAGAAAACUUCAUCUUUUCUAUCAUCAAUCAUUAUCUUAUACUCUAUUUAGUUUUAGCACCUUAUCAUUUACCUUAUAAUAUGACAAUCUACAGGUCAACUUCACCGUUCUAGUGUACUUUUCUUGUCAUCGAUCUUUGUGUUUCUUGUGACCAACCAGUAUUUUCUAUUUAACCCUUGUCAUUAGUCUACAGUCGUCUUAUCAUCUCUCAUCAUAUAGCUCAAAAUAACCUUGAAAACCAAUCAUCAAUCCUUUGAUCUCAUGUCAUAAAUUCCAAUUUAAUCUUGAGAAUCAAACCUUGACAUCUCUGUCAACUUUUAUAAUCCUCAAUCCCUAAAUCAUAUCUUGUCAAAAGUCUCAAAACAACCUUGAUGAUCAACUUUAUCAUUAUCUCUAGUCUAAUCGAAUCUCGGGACGAGAUUCCUAUUAAGUGGGGUAGAUUGUCACACCCCAAAAUUUCUAAUUUUGGGUUGUGCAUCGAACACACUAAAUAAAUAUAAAAUGAAUUUAAUAUUUGUAUAAGAUUUGCCAUGUUUAAUUUGAGUUAGUGCAAAUUUAGUUAUAGAAAAAUAUGAAUUUUCAAAUCGUUCCAAAUUAACUUAAUGGGAUUUUGUUGAUGUGGUGUGAUGCUUGUUUGUUGUUUGGCUUUGUAUUGUGAGUGGGUAAAAUUUUAGAGCGCGUUUAGUAAGUCAAUUAUGAAUGUUCGGCUUAUCCCUAUUUUUUUCUAAAAUCACUUCGCCACUUUCUCAAGCUUAAUUUUUUUUUAUGUUUAGAGUUUCCCAAAAUAUAUUUCUUCCAAUUCAAAUAAUCCAUUUGAGAUCAUUGCACAUCAAAUUAUCUCUAAUAUAUAUCUUCACCGGAAAUAUUCUGAAUUCUGCUAAAACUUUUUCCAACAUAUCCAAGGAAACUCAUAUUUAUUGGACUCCAGAUGCUUUAUUUGGGCUAUUUUGCUUGACGUGAUGACACGUAUUUACAUUCCAAAACGAGCAAUCGACCAGGCCACGUCCUUCAUGGUUAAAGAUCACAUCGUGCGCUUCUUCAUAAAGUAAUCAAUCAUUUAUAUAACAAUAUAUAUAUAUAUGUAUAUGUCAUAUAUAUAUAUCAAUCUCUAUGAAAUGCACAUGCCGGAAAUUCUAUAUUUAUCUAGUCGUAUCUGACUAUAAAUAGCAUCUAACGUUUCUUUUGCAAACCCUUGAAAAUAAGGCAAUUGAUUAUGAUCCAAGCAGCCGCACACAACAUCUGAGCUAGCAAGGCCGCCGGCUGUGUUCCUGCCGAUCUCCAACAUGGGUGCGUCUUGUUCCCGGUCGGCAAUCUGCGCCUCGCCGACUUCUUUUGCUGGCGCCGCCAACCACAUCCAUCAAAGCAUCACACGUCAAAUCCCUAGAUGCGUUAACGCGCUGCCCCAAGUCCAGUUCAUCGGCCAUCAAUAGCAGGCCAAAGAUCCCAAUGUUGAUGCUCUGAUCGUCUUUGGUCCGGCAUCUCCAGCCGUGAGCCAUGGAGCAUUGUUUGAAGCCCCAUCCUCUUAAAGGUUUGUGUGUCGUCUUCUCAAGUUCGUCAACUGGAGGCUACUAGACCACAGCCAUGAACAUCGUGAGUACUUGUAGAUCAUGCUGGGACCCUACGCAGUCGGAUGCUGCGAGAUUUCGUGCUGACGGAGGAGCACGGCUAGGUGAAGCUCUUGCCGCUGGCUCUUCUCAUCGUCGGGGCGAGGAUGCUAUUAUCUGUGCCUGAUCGUUCGUCUUUAGCUAUGGUGAGCAUAUCCACAUCUCUCUACAUGAUCUCUCUGUAGCUCUGUUACUAGCUUUGGUGCCUAUGUAUCUUUAGCAAAAGAUAGCAUUAUCAUUCAAUCGAAGCAAGCAACACAUGGUUUGACCUUCGGCUUUCCAGUAUCCAUUGUUAACUUAAUCAACUACAACAGAAACAGUUUUUAAUUUAAAAUCACGUGUCCUUUAUAGUUAGAUUAUAGUAUCGCUCUGAUAUUUUUAUUUAUUUUUGCCAAUUAAAGUUUAAAUGAAUUAAAUAAUAGUAUAAGACAUGUUUAUUUAUAAAUAAAGUAUUAAUAUAAUUAGCUGCUUUUGCAUAUGCUUUUUCUUUUGCAAAGAUAAAAAUUUAACUUUAUUAAAUAUGAUUAAAUUUACUUUAGUUUGCUAAUUACAAAAAUGACGUCGGAGUUGUUGGGUAUUCUUAACAUCAUUACGAAAAGUAGACUUAGUUUUCUAAUUCUAGUAACGGUGCCAAAAAUGCCAAACCUAUCCCUCAUACCACUUAAGCCAAGUUGUCAUCCCCAGCAUGACAUGAGAGACGCGGUAUUGAAAUAUGCAAUUGCUCUUCUAAAUAAAUAAUGAAUGGGAUCUGUAAGCGCACAGAUUAAUACCGAUGUAGCAUUUUAACCGGGAAGUAUUCCAGGUAUCGUUAUUUAUAUUUUUACCGCUGGGAAGGGAUUAGCAAUCAUCAAUAUUGAUUACAGAAUAGAAUAUGAGAUUGAGUAUCUAUCAUUGCAUGUAUAAUUGAGAACAUUUAUCUAACUCUUUCAUACAGGGAUAAGUGUCACAUAAAGGAUAUAUGAAAUAAUGAAUAGUGACAAGGAUAAUUAAUCUGAUCAUAACUUAGCCACAUAUAAAUAUGAUAAGCACCUCAAUUAGAUACUCUAGAAAGUCAUUAGCAUGGAAUUAGAACGAACUACAAUAAUAUUUCCUAAGUUAUUCUCAACUAUAUAGUCUAGCAUUAUCAUAAUUAGCGCAAGCAUAAUUAACAAUCAUUGUGAGACAAGACUACGCCCAUGCAUAGUGAUAUUAGCAAGGUAAAUGAGAAACAUAGCAAUCACUCCCCUGUAAUAAUAUUGCUCUGCCAGCCCAAUACACGAGAGGGGGACUAUAUAAGAAUCAAUGAAGUUGUCACUAUCAUGAACUACCCCACGAUCUGGCAUAUUGCGUACAAUCGCAGAUAAAUAUGGUAUAAGCACCACGCCUACACAAUAUCUGUCAUUUACCCAUGGAUCCAAUGGAUAAACGCUAUACGAUCCUAAGCAUGUAUAUAGAUCCAAUCUAACUAAGCCAAGUACAUAACCAUGAUAAACUAAGAACAAUAUAAUCUUGAAUAUAAACAAGUAGAGCAAAGUCAUAAGCAAUAUAUUGAAGUAGAACAAAGUCAUAUUCAUAAUAUUGAAGAACAAAGAUAAUUAGAAAGAACAAUUAGAAGCACAAUUAGAAGCACAAUUAGAGAAUUACCAAGAAUCCUCUUGACAGAUCCGGAAAGCAAUCGAAGAUUGACUCCUUCUAGUUCUAAUCCUAUGUAGCUAUGCUAAUCUAGAUGUCUAAUUGAUGUGGUGGCUCUAAUCUUGAUCAUAGGCUUCUUCUCCCUUGAAGAACAAUGAAUUAGGGUUGAGAGGCUCUCUCCUCCAGGGGCCAGGGGUCUGGUUUUAUAGUCCCUUCAAGUGAAUAUGGGCCGUUGGAUCAAACCGACAUUGAUUGAACGGUUAUCCUUGAUCCUUUAGGUCGGUGGAGAUCUCCCACGAAACAGAGUCUUGAUUGGACUCAGAGAGGGGGCGGGCGCCCUGCCUCUGGCCCCGUUCGGCCUCCGCUUCCUUCCCGUGGCUUCUGGAGUCUUCUAGAUGUAAGAUAAUUGCGCGGCACGUUAAUAUCUCGAUGUAAUCCCGACGUGUGGGCCUUUCUUCCGUAUUUCCUGAUAACCCCCUACAGAAAUAGACAAACACCAAAACUCGUCUAAUUCUGUCAAAUAAAACCCUAAGUCUAGAUGUUGAUUUCAUUUGGAUCCUUUUCUUUGUUUAUUUGAUAAUUAAAUUUGAUACUUAAGGACCAUCAACAAACUCCCCUAAGCUUACCUCUUGCUCGUCCCUGAGCAAGGAUAGAUUAGAAGUUGCUGCAAUAGUUUUAAAAAUUUGACGGUGUUGACACUUUCUAACACCACUUGAAUACUAGGUUGUCAUCCCCAGCGUGGCACUAGAGUGUACUAUGGUAUUUAUACGCACACAGAUAAUCCGCAAGCACACGGAUACCGUUGAAGCUUUUACCCGGUUAAAGGUUUUAUCGUAUCCACAGGGAAACGGGAGAACUGAUCUACGCUCUAACUUAACCAAGAUAAGUAAAUAGGUGUGAAUAGGAAAGAUGGUAGAAUCGAAUAAGAACAAUAUUAAAGGUAAGAUAACAGUGAGUGAUAAUAUGGGAAUAGAGAGUAGAGCAAUUCUAGUAUAUGGGCGAUGGUAGCAGAAUAGAGAGGAUAACUAUGGUUUCUCUACUUCAAAGGGGUAUGUCUAUGUCUGGGACGAACCACGUGAUAAGAGUACACCACAAAUGAUGCUUACCCAUAGGCCGAUAAACCCUACCCGUCCUGCUAACGAGAGGUGGACUACAGGGGACCAACGUAACUGUCACCUACGCGGCCUACCACACGAUCCAGCUAGUCAGGGGAUAUCCACAAGUAAUCUAGGUCUAAGCACCACGCUUACACCUAUACUACAACUCUAACCUAUAGGGUCCUAUAGAUUAGAAGUACUCAAAAGAGUUGUGAACCAGAACAUACAUGAUUAGUAAUUGCAUAAUGAAUUAGAAGUAGAUUACCAGAGUCAUCCCAUGAGCAAGCUUGAUUAGAGCUUGAUCAUGGCGAAGUACAACCGGAGGAAGAACCGACAGGCCGGCCUCUCCUCUAAUCCUCUUUCGCUCUCCAUCUCGCUACUAUCUAGAUCUACUCUAGUUUAGAGAAGAGAGGAGAGCUCUCAUCUCUAAACCCUAGCUUUUGCUCUGUCUAUGAAUAAUGAAUAAUGAUCAAGGGGUGUCUCCUCCAGGGGCCAGGGGGUCUGGUUUUAUAGUCCCCUCAAGUGAACCUGGGUCGUCGGAUCAAACCGACAUUGAUUGAACGGUUAUUCUUGAUCCUUUAGGUCGGUGGAGCAUAAUCUGCGAGAUUGAGCGUGAUUGGCCACAGGAGGUGGGCGGGCGCCCAGUAGGACAGGGCGGGCGCCCUGUCUCUGGCCCCGAUUCGCCUCCGCUUCGGUCUCGUGGCUUCUGGAGUCUUCUACAUGUAAGAUAAUUGCGCGGCACGUUAAUAUCUUUACGUAAUCCCAACGUGUGGGCCUUGCUUCCUUAUUUCCUGAUAACCCCCUGUAGAAAUAGACAAACACUAAAACUCGUGGAAUUCUGUCAGAUAAAUCCCUAAGUCUGGAUGUUGAUUUCAUUUGGAUCCUUUUCUUUAUUUAUUUGAUAAUUAAAUUUGAUACUUAAGGACCGUCAACAAACUCCCCCAAGCUUACCUCUUGCUCGUCCCUGAGCAAGGAUAGACUCAGCUAUGGAUCAUAAGUUGUUACAAUAUCUUUAAAAAUUGACGGUACACAUGCUUUUAAAUGAGGUCUCAUCUCUGAGUUAGAGUAAACUGUCAAGACUUAAAACUUACUUACUUUACCUUUCACCAUGGGACUUGUAACCGUCACUUCUGUCUUGAGUGGUUAAAAGAUAGAACAGUCCAGUCAAGUGCCAUGUCGCUUAUUCUUGAUCAGCUUAGCUCUGGAGUUUUUGUAGAUUUUCAAAUAAAACUCAGAGAUUCCUUUGUAUGACUCUCUCAUAUCUCUCUUUUGUGGUAUUUCUGGAUCCUUACCAAGGCAGUGAUGGUAUAUGCCUUCUCUCAAAAUAUGUUGUAUUUGUGGUAUAAGGCAUAGUGACAUUGCCUUCUCUCUCACCCUACUCUAAUAAGGCUUUAAUAUCUGGAGCUUAUAGGUGGGAGAUAAAAUAUACAUACUUACAAGACAUUUAUUAUAUAGUCAAACCAUGGAUCCAAAGAAACAAAUCAAUAAGCCAAAUCAAGAUGUGCAUGUGUGGCGAAUGAAUGGUGUAUAGUGAUGAUGGUGAUAACAAUGGUGAAAGUCUAAUUCUACUUUUGCUCUUAUGAGGGGAUACAUACCUUCCUUGCUUUUUGAAACUUUAUGAGGAGAAUGGGAUGCUCUUCUUUUUCUUUCCUCUCAGAUGGGUAUCCUGUACCCCUAAUUCUACUGUCGGACACUUGUCCAUUUUUACCUCUCGUCUCACUCUUUUUCUUUUCUUUCGAGGUUCCAGGCACUUGCCCCUUUUUAUUUCCUCGUUUAUUAUUAUUUUUUUCUUUUUUUCUUUUCUUUUUUUUUCUUCUUUUUUUUCAGAGCACUCAUCUCUUGAGAUAAUAUAGCAAGUGGUAGUAGCAAGAUAACUUGAGCAUUUAUUUCACAAGGGAAAAACACAGAUGUUUUUGGCUAUUCUCUCCCGAAUUAGGAGUAGAAUAUUUUUAGGUGAUUCUAGAGAUGGAAAUGGAUGGAUAUAUGUGGAUGGUACUUCCGGAGUAGAAGUAGCAUAUAUAUGAGUGAACGUGCAAGUGAAUCUUGAUUUAACCACAUGACAAGCUCAUAAGGGUCUACACAGCUUGACCACACUCAAUGCUCAUAAGCAGUAAAUAAUAAAUGUGUGGCUCAAAGUCUAGCAAGCAUGUAUAUAUGGCUGUGGUAGGAAUUUAAACUUUCAUCAUACAGGAACUCAUCAUGCAACAUUUUAAAGAUUUUUCAAAGAUAAAAUUCUCCAGAAUUCUAGCAUCUCUAGGAAUAGAUAAACAGCAGCUCAACCUUCCCAUAUCAUAUCCGUUAACAACUUAGAUUUCAGAUCAAGUUUUCAUCCCACAAGUUUAGGUCUAGAGCAAGCUUUAAAUUAUCACAGUUAUAUCUAAACUUGAGAGAGAACUUAAAAUGUGCAAAUUAGGCAGAGCAACUAUUCAUCAUAUCCAUGCUUAAAUUUUAUUUAGAUACAGAUAGCCACUUUAUUUAUUUAUUAAACACACUAAGUAAAAGAUAUAUAAGAACGAAAUCUUUAUUUGGUUUUUCAUAGUUUAUGUAUUUUAAUAUUCUAAAAUAAUAUAAGUAUAAAGAUAGAUAGAUAGAAAUACUUAUCGGGAUAAAUGGGGGUGCUCUCCCCCAAGCUGAAUUUUGACGUAAUUUCUUUUGAUGUAGCUAGCAGGUGGCAGAGGUGUAUUUGAAAGUCAGCAGCAUUCUGACAGCGAUUAGAAUGUCCUCCGUCUGCUAGUAUUCUUGAUUCUUAAAUUCUGUGGAGCUCAAAUAGACAACAAAGCUUGUGGAACUGAUUAAGUGUUAGCAUAAAUAUCUAGCCUUUAUCAUCUUGAGACUCCUUAAUAAAUAUUACUCCCUAUUUUUAUAUUUUUAUUUUUAUAAAGUAGAAAAGAAAUAUUUAUUUUAUUUUUAUGCCACCACAGUGAAGGUACUUAUGGGUUUUAUGCCACUCGUAUACUCACAUGGGGCUUAGUAUUUUUUAACAUUUUUAUUUUCUUUUCAACAUAGCAUGAUUAACUAAUAAUCUAUUUAAGGAAAGUAAAUAAUUAAAGGGAAUGCAGAAAGGAUAAAUAUGGAUAAGUAUAAAUAUGGAUAACUACCAAUCUUACCUUUCGGCGAGGGUUCAAUGUUUUAAGUAUUCUUGUCAAGACUUCUCAUCGUGUUCAUUCUUCAGGUGCGUCAUUUGAUUCAGGUGCGGACCUUGACGUCUGCACCUUUUAAUACGGUGUCACCCAUGUUCUUCGUUUGCCCAGCAGUUCGAAGUGCGGUGUUAGCAGUAUCUUGCUAAGUGUGUUUGUGCUCGUAGUGUACCUGCUCAUAGAGACAAGGCAGAGAUCAAGUGCAUGGGCCCUGUUGGUGGAAAACACCAACAGAACCAAAAGUGUAUUUGUUCUUCUCUAACCUUAAGUAUAGUGAGCAAGACAAGUUGAUGGAUGAUAAGUUCAUGAGUGUAGCACUUAUAACAUUUGUCAGAUCAGAUCGCUCAACCUUAUGGAAAGAUAAUCUAUUUAUGUAUAUGUCUUUUUCUUUAUAUCUCUCAAUGAUUGAAUGUGUAACAUUUUAGCUCAUAUGAUUAGGAGUGUGGGAUCAUGGAGGUAGUACUAAGAACAAGGAUUAAAGGACUAAACAUGUUGAAUCAGUUGGGUUGGUUAAUCUAGAGUUGUAAAUCAUACACGUUUGUCUCUUUUAUUUAUAUGAACGCCAGAACCAAGGAGAAGCUUAUAAAAGAGAUAGUCAAGUACCUUAAGAUGUUACCUUGCUCAAAGAGUGAUGGUACAGUAUCAUCUUGUGGAAGCUUUCCUUUCUUAGCGGUUGUGCGUCGUGUUUGUGGCACCCUCCAUGGAUCAUGUCUCUAUAAUGAAUGAGCUAUGUCCUUCUUGUGCAAAUUGUUAAACUUCAUGUGUCACUCUCUUCGUCUCUGAUGUGAGUUUAUCUCAGGAUUUCCCAAAUUGAUAUUGAAAGUUUUUCUGCAGGGGUUAGUCCGACAAAAUAUACCAAUAUCUACUCAAGCAGUUUUUUUAGUUCAAUAACCAAACUAGACUCCAUGUCUAAUCAGAUUAAGGAAGGCUAUUUAACCUAAGCACCAUGCUUAAUUUAAAUGCCAAUGGAAGUAUGGCGACUACUUCCAAACCAACACUUGCUAGUAAAUAGACAAAGGUAGCAUGACAGCGUUUAUAGAGAUCUACUCAAGUGGAGAUGAAGUAGUGUGAUUAGUAUUUAACAAAUUGAGCAUGUCUCAAAGGUAGGGACAACCAGCAUAGCAACAUGGCAA
rnacentral:lncRNA from 1 species